CUGCUUGCGCUGGGUAUGGAAAUUAUAUAAUACACACUCUAGAACAUUUUCACCUUAAUAAAUAUAAAAAAAUAUAUAUAUAUAUAUAUUAUAUAUAUUUAUUAAGGUGAAAAUGUUCUAGAGUGUGUAUUAUAUAAUUUCCAUACCCAGCGCAAGC